GACGAACGCUGGCGGCGUGCUUAACACAUGCAAGUCGAACGGAAAGGCCCUGCUUUUGUGGGGUGCUCGAGUGGCGAACGGGUGAGUAACACGUGAGUAACCUGCCCUUGACUGUGGGAUAACUUCAGGAAACUGGGGCGAAUACCGGAUAGGAGCUCCUGCUGCAUGGGGGGGGUUGGAAAGUUUCGGCGGUGGGGGAUGGACUCGCGGCUUAUCAGCUUGUUGGUGGGGUAGUGGCUUACCAAGGCUUUGACGGGUAGCCGGCCUGAGAGGGUGACCGGCCACAUUGGGACUGAGAUACGGCCCAGACUCCUACGGGAGGCAGCAGUGGGGAAUAUUGCACAAUGGGCGGAAGCCUGAUGCAGCAACGCCGCGUGCGGGAUGACGGCCUUCGGGUUGUAAACCGCUUUCGCCUGUGACGAAGCGUGAGUGACGGUAAUGGGUAAAGAAGCACCGGCUAACUACGUG
rnacentral:rRNA from 1 species